CUCAGAGUGAUUAGUUCAAGGUCAUGCUGCUGAGUCAUUUUAUAAGAAUGUGUCAAUUUUAAAACUUCAGGCCAAGAGAUCCUUGGAAUACGCACACCAAACCCUGCAGUCAGUGAAACAUUAACAGUUCAUGGAGCUGCCUUUCACAAACCUAGAAGUAGCUUUCAUCUUGUUGGCUUUUGUCAUUUUCUCCUUGUUUUCCCUGGCUUCCAUCUACAGUGACCCUCAUGACCAUAACACAGACACGGAACACUGCUCACAGGAAGAAAAGAGGAAAAGGAGAAAGGUGGACAAGAGAAAAAAUCAUGCAAGUGUGACUGAAGUGAUUUAGAAUGAGAAGUACUUUUCACACCAGUUGCUAGAUACACGGCUGAUGAAGGUUGAUGUGGAAGCUGGUCACCUGGCAAUGGUGAAAUGAAGGAUGUGACAGAAAGGAAGGAGCUGCUCAUUGAUCAGAUGGAAUCCAGACAUGACAGUAACAGUUAAUGAACCAUGUCCUAUGAAGCAGCUUCAGCACCUUUUUACAACCCCACUUCUCAGCCUUAAUAAAACUAUCAGAGCCUUUAAAGGAGCA
rnacentral:lncRNA from 1 species